rnacentral:rRNA from 1 species
GGGUUGUGAGGUUAAGCGACUAAGCGUACACGGUGGAUGCCCUGGCAGUCAGAGGCGAUGAAGGACGUGCUAAUCUGCGAAAAGCGUCGGUAAGGUGAUAUGAACCGUUAUAGCCGGCGAUGUCCGAAUGGGGAAACCCAGUGCAAUUCGUUGCACUAUCGUUAACUGAAUACAUAGGUUAACGAGGCGAACCGGGGGAACUGAAACAUCUAAGUACCCCGAGGAAAAGAAAUCAACCGAGAUUCCCCCAGUAGCGGCGAGCGAACGGGGAGCAGCCCAGAGUCUGAAUCAGCUUGUGUGUUAGUGGAACGGUCUGGAAAGUCCGACGGUACAGGGUGAUAGUCCCGUACACCAAAAUGCACAGGCUGUGAACUCGAAGAGUAGGGCGGGACACGUGGUAUCCUGUCUGAAUAUGGGGGGACCAUCCUCCAAGGCUAAAUACUCCUGACUGACCGAUAGUGAACCAGUACCGUGAGGGAAAGGCGAAAAGAACCCCGGCGAGGGGAGUGAAAAAGAACCUGAAACCGUGUACGUACAAGCAGUGGGAGCACCUUCGGGUGUGACUGCGUACCUUUUGUAUAAUGGGUCAGCGACUUAUAUUCUGUAGCAAGGUUAACCGUAUAGGGGAGCCGCAGGGAAACCGAGUCUUAACUGGGCGUUAAGUUGCAGGGUAUAGACCCGAAACCCGGUGAUCUAGCCAUGGGCAGGUUGAAGGUUGGGUAACACUAACUGGAGGACCGAACCGACUAAUGUUGAAAAAUUAGCGGAUGACUUGUGGCUGGGGGUGAAAGGCCAAUCAAACCGGGAGAUAGCUGGUUCUCCCCGAAAGCUAUUUAGGUAGCGCCUCGUGAACUCAUCUUCGGGGGUAGAGCACUGUUUCGGCUAGGGGGUCAUCCCGACUUACCAACCCGAUGCAAACUACGAAUACCGAAGAAUGUUAUCACGGGAGACACACGGCGGGUGCUAACGUCCGUCGUGAAGAGGGAAACAACCCAGACCGCCAGCUAAGGUCCCAAAGUCAUGGUUAAGUGGGAAACGAUGUGGGAAGGCACAGACAGCCAGGAUGUUGGCUUAGAAGCAGCCAUCAUUUAAAGAAAGCGUAAUAGCUCACUGGUCGAGUCGGCCUGCGCGGAAGAUGUAACGGGGCUAAACCAUGCACCGAAGCUGCGGCAGCGACACUAUGUGUUGUUGGGUAGGGGAGCGUUCUGUAAGCCUGCGAAGGUGACCUGUGAGGGUUGCUGGAGGUAUCAGAAGUGCGAAUGCUGACAUAAGUAACGAUAAAGCGGGUGAAAAGCCCGCUCGCCGGAAGACCAAGGGUUCCUGUCCAACGUUAAUCGGGGCAGGGUGAGUCGACCCCUAAGGCGAGGCCGAAAGGCGUAGUCGAUGGGAAACAGGUUAAUAUUCCUGUACUUGGUGUUACUGCGAAGGGGGGACGGAGAAGGCUAUGUUAGCCGGGCGACGGUUGUCCCGGUUUAAGCAUGUAGGCUGAUUGUCCAGGCAAAUCCGGAUAAUCAAGGCUGAGGUGUGAUGACGAGGCACUACGGUGCUGAAGUAACAAAUGCCCUGCUUCCAGGAAAAGCCUCUAAGCAUCAGGUAACAUUAAAUCGUACCCCAAACCGACACAGGUGGUCAGGUAGAGAAUACCAAGGCGCUUGAGAGAACUCGGGUGAAGGAACUAGGCAAAAUGGUGCCGUAACUUCGGGAGAAGGCACGCUGGUGUGUAGGUGAAGUCCCUGCGGAUGGAGCUGAGACCAGUCGAAGAUACCAGCUGGCUGCAACUGUUUAUUAAAAACACAGCACUGUGCAAACACGAAAGUGGACGUAUACGGUGUGACGCCUGCCCGGUGCCGGAAGGUUAAUUGAUGGGGUUAUCCGUAAGGAGAAGCUCUUGAUCGAAGCCCCGGUAAACGGCGGCCGUAACUAUAACGGUCCUAAGGUAGCGAAAUUCCUUGUCGGGUAAGUUCCGACCUGCACGAAUGGCGUAAUGAUGGCCAGGCUGUCUCCACCCGAGACUCAGUGAAAUUGAACUCGCUGUGAAGAUGCAGUGUACCCGCGGCAAGACGGAAAGACCCCGUGAACCUUUACUAUAGCUUGACACUGAACAUUGAGCCUUGAUGUGUAGGAUAGGUGGGAGGCUUUGAAGCGUGGACGCCAGUCUGCGUGGAGCCAACCUUGAAAUACCACCCUUUAAUGUUUGAUGUUCUAACGUUGGCCCCUUACCGGGGUUGCGGACAGUGUCUGGUGGGUAGUUUGACUGGGGCGGUCUCCUCCCAAAGCGUAACGGAGGAGCACGAAGGUUAGCUAAUCCUGGUCGGACAUCAGGAGGUUAGUGCAAUGGCAUAAGCUAGCUUGACUGCGAGCGUGACGGCGCGAGCAGGUGCGAAAGCAGGUCAUAGUGAUCCGGUGGUUCUGAAUGGAAGGGCCAUCGCUCAACGGAUAAAAGGUACUCCGGGGAUAACAGGCUGAUACCGCCCAAGAGUUCAUAUCGACGGCGGUGUUUGGCACCUCGAUGUCGGCUCAUCACAUCCUGGGGCUGAAGUAGGUCCCAAGGGUAUGGCUGUUCGCCAUUUAAAGUGGUACGCGAGCUGGGUUUAGAACGUCGUGAGACAGUUCGGUCCCUAUCUGCCGUGGGCGCUGGAGAAUUGAGGGGGGCUGCUCCUAGUACGAGAGGACCGGAGUGGACGCAUCACUGGUGUUCGGGUUGUCAUGCCAAUGGCACUGCCCGGUAGCUAAAUGCGGAAGAGAUAAGUGCUGAAAGCAUCUAAGCACGAAACUUGCCCCGAGAUGAGUUCUCCCUGAGACUUUAAGUCUCCUGAAGGAACGUUAAAGACGAUGACGUUGAUAGGCCGGGUGUGUAAGCGCAGCGAUGCGUUGAGCUAACCGGUACUAAUGAACCGUGAGGCUUAACCUUACAACGCCGAAG